UGGCGGCAGGCCUAACACAUGCAAGUCGAGCGGUAGAGAGAAGCUUGCUUCUCUUGAGAGCGGCGGACGGGUGAGUAAUGCCUAGGAAUCUGCCUGGUAGUGGGGGAUAACGUUCGGAAACGGACGCUAAUACCGCAUACGUCCUACGGGAGAAAGCAGGGGACCUUCGGGCCUUGCGCUAUCAGAUGAGCCUAGGUCGGAUUAGCUAGUUGGUGAGGUAAUGGCUCACCAAGGCGACGAUCCGUAACUGGUCUGAGAGGAUGAUCAGUCACACUGGAACUGAGACACGGUCCAGACUCCUACGGGAGGCAGCAGUGGGGAAUAUUGGACAAUGGGCGAAAGCCUGAUCCAGCCAUGCCGCGUGUGUGAAGAAGGUCUUCGGAUUGUAAAGCACUUUAAGUUGGGAGGAAGGGCAGUAAAUUAAUACUUUGCUGUUUUGACGUUACCGACAGAAUAAGCACCGGCUAACUCUGUGCCAGCAGCCGCGGUAAUACAGAGGGUGCAAGCGUUAAUCGGAAUUACUGGGCGUAAAGCGCGCGUAGGUGGUUUGUUAAGUUGGAUGUGAAAUCCCCGGGCUCAACCUGGGAACUGCAUUCAAAACUGACUGACUAAGUAUGGUAAAAAGGGGGGGGGGAAUUUUCCUGGGGUAACGGGGAAAUGCGUUAAAUAUAGGAAGGAACACCAGUGGCGAAGGCGACCCCUGGACUAUACUGACACUGGAGGUGCGAAGCGGGGG
rnacentral:rRNA from 1 species